CGGAUCUUCCGCAAUGCGCGCAAGCGUGACGGAGCAAUGCCGCGUGCAGGAUGAAGGCCUUCGGGUUGUAAACUGCUGUCAGGGUUUAGCAACACAAUGAGCAGACCCAAAGGAAGGGCCGGCUAACUUCGUGCCAGCAGCCGCGGUAAUACGAAGGGCCCGAGCGUUGAUCGGAUUCACUGGGCUUAAAGGGUGCGUAGGCGGGAGCGUAAGUGCUUUGUGAAAUCCCACGGCUCAACCGUGGAACUGCAGGGCAUACUGCGUUCCUUGAGGCCGGUAGAGGUUGUCGGAACUCUAGGUGUAGCGGUGAAAUGCGUAGAUAUCUAGAGGAACGCCAAUGGUGAAGACAGGCAACUGGGCCGGUACUGACGCUCAUGCACGAAAGCGUGGGUAGCA
rnacentral:rRNA from 1 species